ensembl:lncRNA LINC03033 long intergenic non-protein coding RNA 3033
GCUCAUAAGAAGAACCCACAACCCACAGACACCCCCUCACUCAACUAGAGACCUCACCCACCUGUUUGCAGAGUCACCCACCUUGGGCUACUUCUUUUCUACUAUUUAAUCUUCUGGGAAAACAGAGGUCUUCUAUUUGGAGAUAAAAAUGACAAAGGAGAACCUCCUGAACAGCAUCCAGUUUGCUUUUAGCUUUAGCCAUCUCUCUGACCUCAGUGCUGCUGGACUCAGUUCCAAGAUCUAACUGUCAAAUGCUUUAGGGGAAACGGGAAGAGAAGUCCCUGGAGUAACCCAUGUGCGCAGCCUGGCACUGUUUUCACUUGCCUUUGGAAAUGAAGGUGCAGAAACCAUGGGAGGAACCUGAUGAAAUGCCUGGUCUAACAGGAGGAUGCAGAGAAAGUUAUGAAGAGAGGAUCCUGAGGAAUUUGCUCCUGGGCCAUGAAGAUGGGAAGCUGAGUCAGAGUGCAGUUCUUCACCCAAUCCCACAGCCACACGUGCCUGCUUGCUCACGGGAUCUUCCCACUCUCCUCGGGAAGGCUUCCGAGCUGCUUCCUCAGGAUGUCCUGUGAUAGCAGCCUGACCUGUCAAAGCCAUGCGAAUACCAUCUGUUCAGUUAUAUAACUUGAGAUCUGGGAAGAAUUCUCAACGUAGGAUUUGCUGCCCAAAUCAAAUCAUUUUCAGAAAGGAGAUUAAGCAUUCUUUGCUGGGAAAAGGAGAAAUUACCAGAAAAAAUUAUCAUUUCACUGAGUAUAAACAAACCUUUGUCCAAAAUACACAAAUGAAAAUGACAAAUUUGCUUCAUUAAUAUUUGCUUGCAUUAAAAAUAUACACAGGGCUAUGUAUGGUUCAAUAUCUUAAGUGCAAAGUAAAAUCUUAAUUAGGAACAAUGGAAUUGUUAAUUUAAUGAAUCUUAAUUUUGUUUAGAUCAUUAGCCUGCAGUAUAAUGUCCCAAGCAGAAUUUGGGGUGGGGAGCUUGGUGGUGGAAGAGGAAGUGCUCAUUUCUACAGACAUGACAAGAUUAUUAACACUAAAGAAUGACUUUUCUUUCAUGGGAGGGGAAGAUAUCUGACCCACCAGCAGUCAGACAGAAACCCUGACUUGUGAUUUUAACAUUACCUUAUAUGACCCAUGGUCACCUUGUAUGACCAAAGAAAACCAUUUAUGAAAUAGCUGUCCGGAGUUCAAGAUUUAAAUGGUAACUUUGUAGACUAGGUUUUCUCUCAUCAUCUAAUUUACUUGCCUUAACGCUUGUUUCUUUGCCCUUAUUCCUACUGGCUCUCGAGUAUAAUAUCCUGAGAAUUUAUGUUGAACAGCACUAAUUUUUUCACUUGGAGCUAGCACAUGUUUAUGACUAGUACAAGUUUAUAACUACAAAAAACAGAGAUUUUGUCAUCUUAAACUGAAUUUACUGGGAAUAAAAUCAGUCAAUUCAGAAAAGUAUAACAAAGGAAAUAAAAAUCACCACAACUCCUACUACCUGAAGAUUAAAUGGUUAAAGUGUUUUGUAUAUUCUUCUGUAAUUUUUACACCUACAUGUUUUUUAAAUAAAAAUUAACCCUACCUAUAAACCAAACAA